rnacentral:rRNA from 1 species
UACAGAGGUCUCGAGCGUUGUUCGGAUUUAUUGGGCGUAAAGGGUGCGUAGGCGGUGUGGCAAGUCAAGUGUGAAAUCUCGGAGCUUAACUCUGAAACUGCACUUGUUACUGCCGUGCUAGAGGGUUGUAGAGGAGAUCGGAAUUCACGGUGUAGCAGUGAAAUGCGUAGAUAUCGUGAGGAAGACCAGUUGCGAAAGCGGGUCUCUGGGCAAUUCCUGACGCUGAGGCACGAAGGCUAGGGGAGCAAACAGG